AAAAAGACAACAAAAAAAAGGAGGUGGAACAUAUCUAAAAAUGACAUGCGUAAGCCAUGGCUUUCCCAACCGAUCAAUACGCCGGCACCUCUCCAGUUUUCACAGAUCAAACAGCCUUAGCAUAUAAAACCUCCCCUUCCUCCUUUCAGCCCCCCCGCCCCACCCUGACUUUGGUAGCAGUAUAAAAAGGGAAGGAUAAAGAUUCUCGAGGCGAACCGGGAUUCCUCUACAUUCUACAUGCUGUCGGGCAUGAAACGGCUCGAUAUACGUAUACUUACAUGAGCGUCAAUUGCGCGAAACUGCCAUCCCCACUUGGCGUUGUAAAGGAAGGGCCUAUGGUCGAAGCGGUUAUCAUCGGGGCUGUACGUCUCGGCGUGGACGGAAGGCGUAAUCACCGUCAUUUUAUGUCGGUUGAUGGCG